AUUGAACGCUGGCGGCAUGCCUAACACAUGCAAGUCGAACGGUAACAGGCCCUUCGGGGUGCUGACGAGUGGCGGAUGGGUGAGUAAUACUUAGGAAUCUACCCUGUAGUGGGGGACAACCCGGGGAAACUCGGGCUAAUACCGCAUACACUCUACGGAGGAAAGCGGGGGACCGCAAGGCCUCGCGCUAUUGGAUGAGCCUAAGCCCGAUUAGCUAGUUGGUGGGGUAAUAGCCACCAAGGCAGUGAUCGGUAGCUGGUCUGAGAGGACGACCAGCCACACUGGGACUGAGACACGGCCCAGACUCC
rnacentral:rRNA from 1 species